GUGUAGCUCAGUGGCAGAGCAGGUGCUUAGCAUGUACAAGGCUUUAGGUUCAAGUCCCAGCAC
rnacentral:tRNA from 1 species